UGACAUGUCAUGCAUCGGUAUGUG
rnacentral:siRNA from 1 species